rnacentral:rRNA from 1 species
AGGAUGAACGCUAGCGGCAGGCCUAAUACAUGCAAGUCGAACGCUCAGUAGCAAUACUGGGAGUGGCGCACGGGUGCGUAACGCGUACACAAUCUACCUCUAAGCGGGGGGACACCUCCUGGAAACGGGGAUUAAUACCGCAUAAUAUGCCGAAGUCGCAUGACUUUGGUAUUAAAGCAGCAAUGCACUUAGAGAUGAGUGUGCGUCCCAUUAGGUAGUUGGUGAGGUAACGGCUCACCAAGCCUAUGAUGGGUAGCCGGUCUGAGAGGAUGGUCGGCCACACGGGCACUGAGACGCGGGCCCGACUCCUACGGGAGGCAGCAGUAAGGAAUAUUGGUCAAUGGUGGAAACACUGAACCAGCCAUGCCGCGUGGAGGAAUAAGGUCCUACGGAUUGUAAACUCCUUUUGACGAGGAAGAAAAUGUUAGAUUUAUCUAAUUUUGACGGUACUCGUAGAAUAAGCACCGGCUAACUCCGUG